rnacentral:rRNA from 1 species
AUUGAACGCUGGCGGCAGGCCUAACACAUGCAAGUCGAGCGGAUGAAGGGAGCUUGCUCCUGGAUUCAGCGGCGGACGGGUGAGUAAUGCCUAGGAAUCUGCCUGGUAGUGGGGGAUAACGUCCGGAAACGGGCGCUAAUACCGCAUACGUCCUGAGGGAGAAAGUGGGGGAUCUUCGGACCUCACGCUAUCAUAUGAGCCUAGGUCGGAUUAGCUAGUUGGUGGGGUAAAGGCCUACCAAGCCGACGAUCCGUAACUGGUCUGAGAGGAUGAUCAGUCACACUGGAACUGAGACACGGUCCAGACUCCUACGGGAGGCAGCAGUGGGGAAUAUUGGACAAUGGGCGAAAGCCUGAUCCAGCCAUGCCGCGUGUGUGAAGAAGGUCUUCGGAUUGUAAAGCACUUUAAGUUGGGAGGAAGGGCAGUAAGUUAAUACCUUGCUGUUUUGACGUUACCGACAGAAUAAGCACCGGCUAACUUCGUG